AGAGUUUGAUCCUGGCUCAGAUUGAACGCUGGCGGCAGGCCUAACACAUGCAAGUCGAGCGGAUGAGUGGAGCUUGCUCCAUGAUUCAGCGGCGGACGGGUGAGUAAUGCCUAGGAAUCUGCCUGGUAGUGGGGGACAACGUUUCGAAAGGAACGCUAAUACCGCAUACGUCCUACGGGAGAAAGUGGGGGAUCUUCGGACCUCACGCUAUCAGAUGAGCCUAGGUCGGAUUAGCUAGUUGGUGAGGUAAAGGCUCACCAAGGCGACGAUCCGUAACUGGUCUGAGAGGAUGAUCAGUCACACUGGAACUGAGACACGGUCCAGACUCCUACGGGAGGCAGCAGUGGGGAAUAUUGGACAAUGGGCGAAAGCCUGAUCCAGCCAUGCCGCGUGUGUGGAGAAGGUCUUCGGAUUGUAAAGCACUUUAAGUUGGGAGGAAAACCUUAUGGUUAAUACCCAUGAGGCUUGACGUUACCUACAGAAGAAGCACCGGCUAACUCCGUGCCAGCAGCCGCGGUAAUA
rnacentral:rRNA from 1 species